rnacentral:rRNA from 1 species
ACAUGCAAGUCGAACGGCAGCGCGGGGCAACCUGGCGGCGAGUGGCGAACGGGUGAGUAAUAUAUCGGAACGUACCCUGGAGUGGGGGAUAACGUAGCGAAAGUUACGCUAAUACCGCAUACGAUCUAAGGAUGAAAGUGGGGGAUCGCAAGACCUCAUGCUCCUGGAGCGGCCGAUAUCUGAUUAGCUAGUUGGUGAGGUAAAGGCUCACCAAGGCGACGAUCAGUAGCUGGUCUGAGAGGACGACCAGCCACACUGGAACUGAGACACGGUCCAGACUCCUACGGGAGGCAGCAGUGGGGAAUUUUGGACAAUGGGCGCAAGCCUGAUCCAGCAAUGCCGCGUGAGUGAAGAAGGCCUUCGGGUUGUAAAGCUCUUUUGUCAGGGAAGAAACGGCCAAAGCUAAUAUCUUUUGCUAAUGACGGUACCUGAAGAAUAAGCACCGGCUAACUACGUGCCAGCAGCCGCGGUAAUACGUAGGGUGCAAGCGUUAAUCGGAAUUACUGGGCGUAAAGCGUGCGCAGGCGGUUUUGUAAGUCUGUCGUGAAAGCCCCGGGCUCAACCUGGGAAUUGCGAUGGAGACUGCAAGGCUUGAAUCUGGCAGAGGGGGGUAGAAUUCCACGUGUAGCAGUGAAAUGCGUAGAGAUGUGGAGGAACACCGAUGGCGAAGGCAGCCCCCUGGGUCAAGAUUGACGCUCAUGCACGAAAGCGUGGGGAGCAAACAGGAUUAGAUACCCUGGUAGUCCACGCCCUAAACGAUGUCUACUAGUUGUCGGGUUUUAAUUAACUUGGUAACGCAGCUAACGCGUGAAGUAGACCGCCUGGGGAGUACGGUCGC